rnacentral:lncRNA from 1 species
UAUGUCCAGCACAUAUGCAACAGUUGAGUAUCAUUGUACACAAUUAUUUGGCAAUCGGGCAAAUGAAAGCUCCAAUUGGAUCUUUAUAGUAGUGAAUAUCAAAUCCAAAUAACCUCCAAGUGGUCUUGCAAAUCGGUAGGUACCUGCAUCAAUAACAUUUUUAAAAAUGUGUACUCGAUGUUUUAAUUCAAGUACUCUUAAAACAAACUAUAUAGUAUAUAUAAUAUUUGAUAAUAAUAUAUAAGAGAGCCCC